ACAAACUCGGCGCUUCCCGCCCGGGCUCCGCCUACCGGUAUCUGCAAAACCCGCGAGCAGCAGCCUUUAUCCACCCGGAACUCGCACCGCCCUCCCCAGCACUGCGCGCCCGGAAACUGCGUCCCUCGCUCCGCCCAGGCUCCGCCUACCCGACUCUGGCUCCACCACCCGGGAGCUGCACCAGCUGCCCUUGGCUCCGCCCCGAGAACCCGCGCGGCUCCGUGUGCGCCGGCUCCUCCCCCGAAUCCUGCACGAGGGGCUGGUCCUGUCGGUCCGCCUUAGGCCCAUACCCUGGCCCAACCAGCCCGCCAUGGAGGGGGAUGUCCCCGCUGCUGCAGCCGCCCACUACCAGCCGGCCAGCCCCCCGCGGGACGCCUGUGUCUACAACAGCUGCUACUGUGAAGAAAAUAUUUGGAAGCUCUGUGAAUACAUCAAAAACCAUGAUCAAUAUCCUUUAGAAGAGUGCUACGCUGUCUUCAUAUCUAACGAGAGGAAGAUGAUACCUAUCUGGAAACAACAAGCCAGACCUGGAGAUGGACCUGUGAUCUGGGAUUACCAUGUCGUCCUGCUCCAUGUUUCAAGCGGAGGACAGAGCUUCAUUUAUGAUCUCGACACUGUCCUGCCAUUCCCCUGUCCUUUUGACACUUACGUGGAAGAUGCAUUUAAGUCUGAUGAGGACAUCCAUCCGCAGUUUAGAAGGAAAUUUCGAGUGAUCCGUGCAGAUUCGUAUUUGAAGAACUUUGCUUCUGACCGAUCUCACAUGAAGGACUCCAGCGGGAACUGGAGGGAACCUCCUCCGUCAUACCCAUGCAUCGAAACUGGAGUUUCCCACCUGUCCCUCCCAUUGAGAAACACAACCACAACUGGAAGCUGGAGGGCAAGAAUGCCCACUGAUGUAGCCUGCUGGGAUCAGAGACAGCCAGCACAACUGGUUGAGAUCUCUUCUUUGCCUUGAUGGGCAAUUGUGAAAAUGGGUUCUCAGAAUCGGAAGAAAUGUUUUUCACCAAAGGAGAGCAGAAUGCCCAAGACACAACCCAAAAUGGUGUUAAUAUAGCAUCUUAGAGGCCAAGACUUUGGGAAGGCAGGAAUCAAGUCAUUUACAUCUCUGAAUCCCAGCAUCCAAUGUGGUGCUUGCUCCCUAG